GGUUGAUCCUGCCAGUAGUCAUAUGCUUGUCCCAAAGAUUAAGCCAUGCAAGUGCAAGUACAAGCUGAUGUACGGUGAAACUGCGAAAGGCUCAAUAGAUCAGUGAGAAUUGGAUUGAGGAUGGAAAUACUAGAUGGAUAACCGUGGUAAUUCUAGAGCUAAUACAUGGGGAGGGGGCGACUCGCUUUCGGGGGGGAAGCCCGGCAUUUAUUAGAUAGCACCGGAGCACAUGUAAGAGUGUGUGGGGAGGAUUCAUGAUAAUUGGCGGAUCGUAUGGCGUGAGCUGACGACGG
rnacentral:rRNA from 1 species